GGGCAAUUGGUCUAGGGGUAUGAUUUUCGCUUCGCAUUGGCAUCAGAUGCGCCUUGUGAAAGGUCACCGGUUCGAAUCCGGUAUUGUCCA